rnacentral:rRNA from 1 species
AUAUCAAUAAGCGGAGGAAAAGAAACCAACAGGGAUUGCUCUAGUAACGGCGAGUGAAGCAGCAAUAGCUCAAAUUUGAAAUCUGGCGUCUUCGACGUCCGAGUUGUAAUUUGUAGAGGAUGCUUCUGAGUGGCCACCGACCUAAGUUCCUUGGAACAGGACGUCAUAGAGGGUGAGAAUCCCGUAUGCGGUCGGAAAGGCGCUCUAUACGUAGCUCCUUCGACGAGUCGAGUUGUUUGGGAAUGCAGCUCUAAAUGGGAGGUAAAUUUCUUCUAAAGCUAAAUAUUGGCCAGAGACCGAUAGCGCACAAGUAGAGUGAUCGAAAGAUGAAAAGCACUUUGGAAAGAGAGUUAAAAAGCACGUGAAAUUGUUAAAAGGGAAGGGAUUGCAACCAGACUUGCUCGCGGUGUUCCGCCGGUCUUCUGACCGGUCUACUCGCCGCGUUGCAGGCCAGCAUCGUCUGGUGCCGCUGGAUAAGACUUGAGGAAUGUAGCUCCCUCGGGAGUGUUAUAGCCUCUUGUGAUGCAGCGAGCGCCGGGCGAGGUCCGCGCUUCGGCUAGGAUGCUGGCGUAAUGGUCGUAAUCCGCCCGUCUUGAAACACG